GAUGAACGCUGGCGGCGUGCCUAAUACAUGCAAGUCGAGCGAACAGACGAGGAGCUUGCUCCUUUGACGUUAGCGGCGGACGGGUGAGUAACACGUGGGUAACCUACCUAUAAGACUGGGAUAACUUCGGGAAACCGGAGCUAAUACCGGAUAAUAUUUCGAACCGCAUGGUUCGAUAGUGAAAGAUGACUCUGCUAUCACUUAUAGAUGGACCUGCGCCGCAUUAGCUAGUUGGUAAGGUAACGGCUUACCAAGGCAACGAUACGUAGCCGACCUGAGAGGGUGAUCGGCCACACUGGAACUGAGACACGGUCCAGACUCCUACGGGAGGCAGCAGUAGGGAAUCUUCCGCAAUGGGCGAAAGCCUGACGGAGCAACGCCGCGUGAGUGAUGAAGGUCUUCGGAUCGUAAAACUCUGUUAUUAGGGAAGAACAAACGUGUAAGUAACUGUGCACGUCUUGACGGUACCUAAUCAGAAAGCCACGGCUAACUACGUG
rnacentral:rRNA from 1 species